rnacentral:rRNA from 1 species
GACAGAGGGGGCAAGCGUUGCUCGGAAUUACUGGGCGUAAAGGGCGCGUAGGCGGGAUGGCAAGUCGGUCGUGAAAUCCCUCGGCUCAACCGAGGAACGUCGAUCGAUACUGCUGUUCUUGAGGAUUGCAGAGGAGACUGGAAUUCCCGGUGUAGCGGUGAAAUGUGUAGAGAUCGGGAGGAACACCGGUGGCGAAGGCGACACGCUGGGCCGUACCUGGCACUGAUGCGCGACAGCAUGGGGAGCAAACAGG